rnacentral:tRNA from 1 species
GCUCUUAUGGUGUAAUGGUUAGCACUCUGGACUUUGAAUCCAGCGAUUCGGGUUCAAAUCCCGGUAGGAGCU